CCCUUAGAUGUUCUGGGCCGCACGCGUGCUACACUGAGUGGAUCAGCGGGUCAGGUUGCGCGAAAGCGUUUCCUAAUCUUUAAAUCCGCUCGUGAUGGGGAUUGGCGGUUGCAAUUUUCCGUCAUGAACGAGGAAUACCUUGUAAGCGCGGGUCAUCAUCCCGCGCUGAAUACGUCCCUGCCCUUUGUACACACCGCCCGUCGCUCCUACCGAUUGAGUGGUCCGGUGAGGCUUUGGGAUCUGAGCGGAAAGAGCGUUUCGCUGUUUCUGCUCGGAAAACUCAGUCGAACCUUAUCAUUUAGAGGAAGGAGAAGUCGUAACA
rnacentral:rRNA from 1 species